UUUCUUUUUCUUGAAUGAGGCAGUGCCUCUUCUUCUUAUUUUUCUCUUAAAGAUUUUUAUAGAAAAUCUUUGAUCUACGAAGAUCCAAUGGUCCGAUCUUCAAUCCAACUUUGGUAAUGUGAUCUACGAAGCCCGAUCUACGUUUCUACCGAUUAGUUUGAGGAUUUGUUAUGUGGAACUUGCUAAACACUCUCCAAGUGUUGGAUUUAUAUUUGGUGGAAUUUUUGUGGCACAUUGCGAGGCAUUGACUAGGGAGCUUAGUUAAGCUUGUUAUCCGCGCAAUCAAGGUAUGUAGCUUUACGGGCGGUGUUGACGGUAAGCCUAGCAUUGAAGUGCUAGCACUUGCGAGAUGUGUGGUAAGCCUAGCAUUGAAGUGCUAGCACACGAGAUGUGUGCCCUGCGGGUAUGUAGCUUUACGGGCGGUGUUGAGAUGUGUGGUAUAUUGUAUUGGAAAUUGUGAUAAGAUAUAAGAGAGAUGAAUGGUGAGACUUGUACUUAAUGAUAUGUUGUUGUGUGGACUUGAUGAUUUGAGAAUAAUAUUGUGAAUCUUGUAUGUAUGUAUGUUUGCGUGCAUUGUUUACUCCGUAGUGAGUCUUAUACUACUGAGGUGGUGAAUUCAUACUUUCACAUGUACGGAUAUAGUUAACCCCACAACUGUACAGACUCUGAUGCCUUGACUGCAGGUUCAGUGGAUCUAAUGAAUGACGUCGUAGCAUAGUACUUGGGAUAUUAUGACUGAAACCCGACGCGACAGUUAUAAUGGUUCGACAAUGGGUUGUCUGCCUUUUGGUGGACUUCAUUUGUGGCUCGUGUCGCUUGUGACACUUGUGUUUAUGAGCCAGUCUUUUGGUAUGUAUUUAAUAGCUAUGUAAAAGCCUUAAACAGAUAGACAUAUUAAUGGCUCUUUUGUUGUGAUUAAUUGUUGUUUAUGGAUGUACCUUCCGCUAUGUUGAUAAUGUUAUUAUGCGUUAUUCGCA